CAAAGAGAGGCAAAGCCGCGAGGCAGAGCAAAUCUCAAAAAGCCGUCCCAGUUCGGAUUGCAGGCUGCAACCCGCCUGCAUGAAGUUGGAAUCGCUAGUAAUCGCGGAUCAGCAUGCCGCGGUGAAUACGUUCCCGGGCCUUGUACACACCGCCCGUCACACCAUGAGAGUCGGGAACACCCGAAGUCCGUAGUCUGACCGCGAAGGGGGACGCGGCCGAAGGUGGGUUCGAUAAUUGGGGUGAAGUCGUAACAAGGUACC
rnacentral:rRNA from 1 species